UACGUAGGGGGCAAGCGUUGUCCGGAUUUAUUGGGCGUAAAGAGCGUGUAGGCGGCCAUACAGGUCCGUUGUGAAAACUGGAGGCUUAACCUCCAGACGUCGAUGGAAACCGUAUGGCUAGAGUCCGGAAGAGGAGAGUGGAAUUCCGUGGUGUAGCGGUGGAAUGCGCAGAUAUCAGGAGGAACACCAAUGGCGAAGGCAGCUCUCUGGUACAUGAUUGACGCUGAGACGCGAAAGCGUGGGGAGCGAACAGG
rnacentral:rRNA from 1 species